rnacentral:rRNA from 1 species
GAUGAACGCUGGCGGCGUGCCUAAUACAUGCAAGUCGAGCGAACGGACGAGAAGCUUGCUUCUCUGAGGUUAGCGGCGGACGGGUGAGUGACACGUGGAUAACCUACCUAUAAGACUGGGAUAACUACGGGAAACCGGAGCUAAUACCGGAUGAUAUUAUCAACCGGAUGGUUCAAAAGUGAAAGACGGUCUUGCUGUCACUUAUAGAUGGAUCCGCGCUGCAUUAGCUAGUUGGUAAGGUAACGGCUUACCAAGGCAACGAUGCAUAGCCGACCUGAGAGGGUGAUCGGCCACACUGGAACUGAGACACGGUCCAGACUCCUACGGGAGGCAGCAGUAGGGAAUCUUCCGCAAUGGGCGAAAGCCUGACGGAGCAACGCCGCGUGAGUGAUGAAGGUCUUCGGAUCGUAAAACUCUGUUAUUAGGGAAGAACAUAUGUGUAAGUAACUGUGCACAUCUUGACGGUACCUAAUCAGAAAGCCACGGCUAACUACGUG